rnacentral:misc_RNA from 1 species
ACCAGCCGGUGCUGGAUCAGAUUGCUGCCGACGCCCGCGAUCAGCAGGAGCAGCAGCGGAACGCCGAGAACGCCGAUCAGCAUCAGUUCGAUCUGGCUGAGCAACGACAGCAGGCCGGGACCGUCGACGCGGAUCUGAUGCAUGUUCAUCAGCAGGUUGCGCAUCGGCACCUCGAUGCCCUUGCUGAUCGAUCCGGAGAACGACGACAGCAGCAGCGUCGAGGCAGCGAUCACGAACCAGGUAUUGACCUCCUGGCUCUUGGCGACAUCGCCCUUUUCCAACGCAUCGUCGAGACGUUUUUGCGUCGGGUCCUGUGUUUUUGAU